UACAGAGGGUGCGAGCGUUGUCCGGAAUCACUGGGCGUAAAGGGCGCGUAGGCGGCUCGGUAAGCGUGCGGUGAAAGCCCGGGGCUCAACCCCGGGUCGGCCGUGCGAACUGCGGAGCUGGAGCACUGUAGGGGCAGGUGGAAUUCCGGGUGUAGCGGUGGAAUGCGUAGAGAUCCGGAAGAACACCGGUGGCGAAGGCGGCCUGCUGGGCAGUUGCUGACGCUGAGGCGCGACAGCGUGGGGAGCAAACAGG
rnacentral:rRNA from 1 species